CCUACACAGACCUCACACAUGAAAGUGUUGAAGAAUAACAAGAAGAAGAAAAGACAGUAAACUCUGCCUACAAUUAGCAUUCUAGUUACUGAUCCAGUAGGAAUGGAACCAAAUGCAAAUACAUUAUUUGGAUUAAACAGAUAACGCAUUCUAAACGAGUAUAACUGUAGAUAUGAAUAGGAGAAGCAGGAUUCAUCCUGGAAGAUCAUAUGGGCAUUAUAAUGAAAUGCAGCUUAAAGGAUCCUAGUUUGACUUGCAGCUGCACUGCAUCCCAGCUUUGUAAUAGAUUCUGAUAUCGUGUCCAGAGAAUGUUUCUGAUCUUUCUGUACUGUAACAAACUCAAAGAGUGAAUUAAAUCUGAUCACAUAUUAUUAAUUGGAUAUAAACUUUCUGAAAUCAAGGAAAUAGUGUUUAUAGUGUCACUGAAAUCAGUAAAAUUAAAUAACAUGGGAAUGUGACUUGGGAACACAAUUCUUUCACCUUGCAGAGUUUCCAUCCAUUGGUUAAGGCAUGUUUGCUCCACGGAGUUUCCUUAAAAUCAGACAGUUUCCUCCAGGUUCUCUGGUUUCCUCCCACCUCCCAUUAACAUGCAGGAUCCUGCAGCUGAUCCAGUUGAGCUGGAAUGAGGCAAGUCUUCUGGGGUUGUGGAAAGCCAGAGCACUUGACUACGCCUAAGUAAAAGUGGGAGGAGCUAGAUGUGCAGGUGCUGUUGACAGCAGCAUUACACCAGACCAACCCGUCAUAUCUUCAAGUGAAGGCAGCAGCACCACACUGACCUGC